AACGAACGCUGGCGGCAGGCUUAACACAUGCAAGUCGAGCGCCCUUUCGGAGGGAGCGGCAGACGGGUGAGUAACACGUGGGAAUCUACCCAUCACUACGGAACAACUCCGGGAAACUGGAGCUAAUACCGUCUACGUCCUUCGGGAGAAAGAUUUAUCGGUGAUGGAUGAGCCCGCGUUGGAUUAGCUAGUUGGUGGGGUAAAGGCCUACCAAGGCGACGAUCCAUAGCUGGUCUGAGAGGAUGAUCAGCCACACUGGGACUGAGACACGGCCCAGACUCCUACGGGAGGAAGCAGUGGGGAAUAUUGGACAAUGGGCGCAAGCCUGAUCCAGCCAUGCCGCGUGAGUGAUGAAGGCCCUAGGGUUGUAAAGCUCUUUCACCGGUGAAGAUAAUGACGGUAACCGGAGAAGAAGCCCCGGCUAACUUCGUGCCAGCCGCCGCGGUAA
rnacentral:rRNA from 1 species